rnacentral:rRNA from 1 species
UACGUAGGGCGCAAGCGUUUGUCCGGAAUUAUUGGGCGUAAAGAGCUCGUAGGCGGUUUGUCGCGUCUGCUGUGAAAACCUCAGGCUCAACCUGGGGCUUGCAGUGGGUACGGGCAGACUAGAGUGCGGUAGGGGUGACUGGAAUUCCUGGUGUAGCGGUGGAAUGCGCAGAUAUCAGGAGGAACACCGAUGGCGAAGGCAGGUCACUGGGCCGCAACUGACGCUGAGGAGCGAAAGCAUGGGGGAGCGAACAGG